rnacentral:sRNA from 1 species
GGAUUAUCGCCAAAUAAACACGGAAACAUCAUGGGACCCGACGGAAUACCUAUUGGUAGGGUCAUCGAGGGAAAUCCUAAACAGCUAGUCGGUAAGAAGGUUGAUGAGCAUGGCUGUAUAUGGAAUGAUUCUGGAAAGCGCAUUGGCCAAUGCGAAUUGAUACCGGAAGAAGAACGGGAUAUAAAAGCGGAGUGUCCUUUUGCGGGCAUUGAUGUGUUGGUUGUUGUCAAUGACGGCUUGGUCGAAGAUGAAAACGGGAAUGUUGUUGGCAAAGUUAGUGAGGGCGACGUCAAAAAGUUACGUGGGAGAGCAGUAGACGAAGAUGGCGACAUCAUUGACAAACACGGGAAUGUUAAGGGGCAUGUCGAGCCUUACGGGGCGCUUGAAGAGGAAGCCGUGGGGGAAGAUCUGUCACUGUUAGCGGGCAAAGCAAUUAAUAAAGCUGGUAAAAUCGUCGACGAAUCCGGAGUCGCGAUUGGGCGCGUUGUCUCAGGUGAUCCAAAGAAGCUUGCUGGAAGGAUGGUGGAUGAUAAAGGCCAAAUAUGGGGUGACAAGGGCGAAGUUAUCGGGAAAGCAGAGCUUAUGCCGGAACCAAAAGGGAACAAAGCCGGUGGGCCGUUCUCCGGAUUCCAGAGUCUUACAGUGGGUAAGGAUGAUGUCGUUCUAGACAGCUCAUGUCAGAUAGUCGGGCGCGUCGUCGAAGGCGACAUGAAAAAUCUUAUGGGUCGACCAGUAGAUAAGGAUGGUGGCAUCAUCGAUAAAGCCGGACGCACCCUCGGAAAAGCCGAACGCUGGGAGCCAAAAGAGAAAAAACUGGAAAUCAACCGAAUGUCUGGACGCAAGGUCAACAAAGAGGGAGAAGUGCGUGACGCGGAUGGCAACCUGAUCGGAAAAUUGACAGCGGGAAAAUUGAACAACCUUGCUGGAAGGUCUAUUGACGACAGUGGAUAUGUUGUCGACAAAGACGGGAAUAAAAUUGGAGAAUGCACGCUGCUGGAACACAUACACGAAGAGAUUGAGGAGCCUGAAAUGUCUCCAGAACAGCUCGAAGCUGAGAAACAUGCAGAGCAGGAAAGGGGUCUCGCUAAGGAAAUGUGUUCCAUCGUACAACAGACACUCGGUAAGGUCGGCGCUGUGUGUGAGA